GAUGAACGCUGGCGGCGUGCCUAAUACAUGCAAGUCGAGCGAAUGGAUUGAGAGCUUGCUCUUAUGAAGUUAGCGGCGGACGGGUGAGUAACACGUGGGUAACCUGCCCAUAAGACUGGGAUAACUCCGGGAAACCGGGGCUAAUACCGGAUAACAUUUUGAACCGCAUGGUUCGAAAUUGAAAGGCGGCUUCGGCUGUCACUUAUGGAUGGACCCGCGUCGCAUUAGCUAGUUGGUGAGGUAACGGCUCACCAAGGCAACGAUGCGUAGCCGACCUGAGAGGGUGAUCGGCCACAAUGGGACUGAGACACGGCCCAGACUCCGACGGGAGGCAGCAGUAGGGAAUCUUCCGCAAUGGACGAAAGUCUGACGGAGCAACGCCGCGUGAGUGAUGAAGGCUUUCGGGUCGUAAAACUCUGUUGUUAGGGAAGAACAAGUGCUAGUUGAAUAAGCUGGCACCUUGACGGUACCUAACCAGAAAGCCACGGCUAACUACGUGCCAGCCGCCGCUGUAA
rnacentral:rRNA from 1 species